rnacentral:sRNA from 1 species
UGGACACUUAGAUUCAGGAUGUUCUAGCUCUUCAUGACAAUCAGCUACGUUACCGACCACAUGCCGCCUCGAGUAUGGGAGAUUGCAUCAGCCAGAUGUGUGCAUUGGCAACGAUGAGAACUGUGGACUCUAAUAUAUAUAUUGAGACGGCAAGCUACGCUCGGGACCCUUUGUUGAUGAUGACUGGCAUAUCACAAACGUUAUUGACCUGAAAUGGUCCUUCAUUCGUCCAAUUAAAAUGCAACACCCUCCAUACUGGCUGACAAGUUAAGCAGGAGAUCAGAUCAACGAAACGCAAUACAGCGAGAUGUACGAUGAAUACAUAGGUGUUUUCGAACAGGUAGAAAGAAAUAUGCUGGGUGAGGAUGAGAAGAGCAUCACAAUGAUUCGAUGCGACUAUUCUUAUACAGAGCUUUUAAAGAGAAUGUGGAGGAAAGGGACGUUCCGGUACUGCUUUGCACUGGAUGGCUCCACUGGACUCCAUCACAUCUUUUACCACCGUAUCCGACCUAGAUAUCAAAUUCCCUACGGAAAAUCUCAGAAAUCCAAGUUUGACACCGAAUUUUAUCUCACCACCUCAACCUUCUUGUGCCUUAACGCGUGGGACUUCGCCGAGUCAAAAGUUAAAGAUAAAGAGAGAUACGACGAGCAGUUCCGACUCGCUUUCCAUCAUUUUCAACAUUUCAAUACAA